rnacentral:lncRNA from 1 species
UUUCAAGUAUCAUAGUUAACCAAAACAUCAUAAAUCACCCCUUCAUAGGGUUUUCACUUUGUCAGAAGUUGAAAAUUAUCUUUAUACCUGUAUGUAGUAGCUAGGAGCAGAAUGUGUUUAAGUGUGAUCCUGUUUGGGUAAAUCCUUUAAGGAAAAUACAUAUAUGCUGGUGUGUGCAUUAAAACAUCUCAAAGAAAUCACAAGAAGC